rnacentral:rRNA from 1 species
GACGAACGCUGGCGGCGUGCUUAACACAUGCAAGUCGAACGGAAAGGCCCUGCUUUUGUGGGGUGCUCGAGUGGCGAACGGGUGAGUAACACGUGAGUAACCUGCCCUUGACUUUGGGAUAACUUCAGGAAACUGGGGCUAAUACCGGAUAGGAGCUCCUGCUGCAUGGUGGGGGUUGGAAAGUUUCGGCGGUUGGGGAUGGACUCGCGGCUUAUCAGCUUGUUGGUGGGGUAGUGGCUUACCAAGGCUUUGACGGGUAGCCGGCCUGGGAGGGUGACCGGCCACAUUGGGACUGAGAUGCGGCCCAGACUCCUACGGGAGGCAGCAGUGGGGAACUGUGCACACUGGGCGGAAGCCUGAUGCAGCAACGCCGCGUGCGGGAUGACGGCCUUCGGGUUGUAAACCGCUUUCGCCUGUGACGAAGCGUGAUUGACGGUAAUGGGUAAAGAAGCACCGGCUAACUACGUG